rnacentral:lncRNA from 10 species
AUCUCAAAUUAACAGCCCAUUAUUAUGGAAGUUCUUUAUUGAUCGCCAAAAUGGGUUAGGUAUACCUGUUGAUGGAGUGAUGGAGUGCAGGGGCGUGACCUCAGCUCACUGCAACCUUCACCUCCCAGGUUCAAGUGAUUCUCCUGCCUCUGCCUCCCGAAUAGCUGGGAUUACAGGUAUGCACUACUACACUGGGCUAAGUUUUGUAUUUUCAGUAGAGAUGGGGUUUCACCACUUGGCCAGGCUGGUCUCGAACUUCUGACCUCAAGCAAUCCUCCCGCCUUAGGCUCCCAAAGUGGUGGGAUUACAGGCCUGAACCACAGGGCCCAGCCUUGGCUUGUGGUUCUUUUACUAAAUAUGGAAUAGCGAUAAAGCUUAUGUAUCAUAUUUGUAAAAGAAAGCUAGGCACAUGAAGCAGAAUUAAUUCAUGAGGGAAAAUAUUUAUUUUACUCUCAAGUCUCCCGAAAGUUAUUGUAUUCAUUUAAACUCAAUUUCUAAUUUUUUUAGUUACCCAAAUACUAUUGCAUUAAAUGCAUUAAAGAGAGCAUUGUACCUAGCAGAUAUGUGAGAAACAGUUUGACUUUUUAACCACUAAAAAAUGUCCAAAUAUCAGAAUUUAUUUUAUUUUAAAUUUCAAAAAAAUCCUUAUUUUAUAUGAUAAAAAUCAAGUUGAUUUGUAAGUCAUAUAUAUCAGCUUAUUAUCAAGAACUAUUGCUAUGUAAAAGAACUUAGGACUGUGUAAUUAGAACUAUGUAAUAGAAAUAUUUACAGAAGACUAUAUCUGCCAACAUGAGAUACUCUACCACCAUAACUUAUAUCAAUGACUCUUGUUCUAUCAUCGUGUGCAUUAUAAAUAGUGCAAAAUUUCAAGAAAUUUCCAUUUUGAGAUAUAAGAAAUCAAUAUGCUGGGAAAACUAAUAUCAAACUCUGAAGUAGAUAUAUUUCAUUUUAUAUAUAUUUUAAAUGACCUUUAACUAAAGGUUAAAUUGGAUUGACACACUGAAGAUAAAUUUUUUUAUUAUUAUCAUCAUUAAAUUAUUAUUUUGUGACUAUUACUAUUCAACUAACACUACAUCUGAUAAUAUAAUGAUAAACACAUUCCUUUUUUAUAUUAACUAGCAUUUUUUUCGAGUUUCUUAAAGCUUUGUUUGCAACUCUGGAUGAUUUAUGUGGGACAUGAUAAAACCAAUCUCCACACAGGCUAAUUUGAGACCUGGCAUCAUUGUCUCUCUCUGAACAAUCUGGAAGCUUUUUUAUGGUAGUGAAUUGCUCAUUUGGGGUGCGAGGAUUGAAGCAGGCAAGUGUCUGGGUCAUUAUGUGCUCAGCCAUGUCUUACAUAGGUGUUUGGAUUUGUAUAGCACUGGUUAAUCUGUAAUGUGUUUUAAUUUAGAGACAUAAAUUCUGGCCAGAAUUCUAUGCUUUAAUUAAAUAGUGUCAAGGGAUUGAUCGCAGCAUAUUGAUCCAUAACUGAACAUUUUAUCCAUGAAGUCACAGGUCCAGUGAGUCAUCAUUGCCUAGAAUACCCUACUUCAAACAAUGAAACUCACUUUCAAUCUAUCAUCAUCUUUCACUCUUCAGUGAAACCCCAUGUAGCUUCCAGAUGUGGUUUCAGGAUUUCUCUAUAUUGUUGGAGAGAACUGAAAGUCAUAGAGGACACCAAGCAUCACGCCUGACCAGCAAUGGAACAGCCCUACCUUAAUGUUUAUCACUUCGCUUCCACUUUCCUAAUUUCACUCAAGUUUCUAUUACUGAGAAACUCAAACUUGUACUAAAACAAAGAAGAGGAUUCCAAGGAAACAUUUAGGGCUCAAGAGAAAUCAUUGCUGCUUUAGCGCCUGGAGAAGAGCUACAGCUCAGGUGUUCAAUAGAAGAGAUGCACACAGGCAUCUAUGUUGUCAGCAAGCUAGCACUAUCAAAGCAUCUGGAGACAACAAUAGGAGUCAAGGAUACCAUCUCUAGCACAGAUCCCCGCAGAACAAGAACCUGAGACCUGCCGAACAGCAGGUGCCAAAGAUGCUGCUGUAACACCACAGCCCUCCCAUCUUCCAUCCUCCACUGGCGCUGAGUGGCAGUCCCAUGUGACAGGAAGUGGAGGCAGAGCUGGGCCAGCCCAGGAGCCACGUGCUGGAGCCAGAUACUCUGUUUUUCUACAAAUGGAAAGUUUGUGGCAUCCUUGACUCAAGCAAAUUUUUCAGCACCAUUUUUCAAGAGCGUGUGCUCACUUCACCUCUCUGUAUCGUGUUUUGAUGCUUGUCCUGGAAACCAACCAUGAGCUGUGAUGAAAUCCAGGCAACUGAGUUGUGUUUCAGCCCAAAGCAGCAAAUGGAAUCCAGCUUCAGGACCAUCAUCUGACAUAGGGGAAGAAGACUUACAUAGAAGGCCUAACCAGCACCCAAGAUCAUGCUCAUAGGUGGAGGAGACUUGCUUUGUCUCAGAUGAGACUUUGGACUGUGGACUUUUGAGUUAAUGCUGAAAUGAGUUGAGACUUUGGGGAACUGUUGGGAAGGCAUGAUUGGUUUUAAAUAUGAAUAUAUGAGAUUUGGGAGGGGGUCAGGGGUGGAAUGAUAUGGUUUGGCUCUGUGUCCCCACCCAAAUCUCAUCUUGUAGCUCCCAUAAUCCUCCCAUGUUGUGGGAGGGACCCAGUGGGAGAUGAUUGAAUCAUGAGGGCGGGUCUUUCUCAUGCUGUUCAUGAUCCCAUUCAUGUGAGAAAGACCCAUGUGAUCAUGAAUGGGUCUCACAAGAUCUGAUGGUGUUAAAAAUGGGAGUUUCUCUGCACAAGCUCUCUGCCUGCUGCCAUUCACAAAGGAUGUGACUUGCUUCUCCUUGCCUUCUGCUAUGAUUGUGAGGCCUCCCUAGCCAUGUGGAACUGUGAGUCCAAUUAAACCUCUUUCUUUUGUAAAUU